rnacentral:rRNA from 1 species
GAUGAACGCUGGCGGCGUGCCUAAUACAUGCAAGUCGAGCGAACAGACGAGAGUGCUUGCACUCUCUGACGUUAGCGGCGGACGGGUGAGUAACACGUGGGUGACCUACCUAUAAGACUGGGAUAACUUCGGGAAACCGGAGCUAAUACCGGAUAAUAUUUAGCUUCGCAUGAAGCAAUAGUGAAAGACGGUUCUGCUGUCACUUAUAGAUGGACCCGCGGUGUAUUAGCUAGUUGGUGAGGUAACGGCUCACCAAGGCAACGAUACAUAGCCGACCUGAGAGGGUGAUCGGCCACACUGGGACUGAGACACGGCCCAGACUCCUACGGGAGGCAGCAGUAGGGAAUCUUCCGCAAUGGACGAAAGUCUGACGGAGCAAUGCCGCGUGAGUGAAGAAGGUUUUCGGAUCGUAAAACUCUGUUGUAAGGGAAGAACAAGUACGUUAGUAACUGAACGUACCUUGACGGUACCUUACCAGAAAGCCACGGCUAACUACGUG